rnacentral:rRNA from 1 species
CCAAUAGCGUAUAUUAAAGUUGUUGCAGUUAAAAAGCUCGUAGUUGAAUUUCGGGGUCAGUAGGUUGGUCGUGCCACUGGUACGUACUGGCCUCACUGAUUCCUCCUUCCUGAUGAGCCGUAAUGCCAUUAAUUUGGUGUUGCGAGGAAUCUGGACUGUUACUUUGAAAAAAUUGAGUGUUUAAAGCAGGCUAACGCUUGAAUACAUUAGCAUGGAAUAAUGAAAUAGGACGUUCGAUCUUAUUUUGUUGGUUUCUAAGAUUGACGUAAUGAUUAAUAGGGAUAGUUGGGGGCAUUAGUAUUCAAUUGUCAGAGGUGAAAUUCUUGGAUUUAUUGAAGACUAACUACUGCGAAAGCAUUUGCCAAGGAUGUUUUCAUUAAUCAAGAACGAAAGUUAGGGGAUCGAAGACGAUCAGAUACCGUCGUAGUCUUAACCAUAAACUAUGCCGACUAGGGAUCGGAUGAUGUUAAUUUUAAUGACUCAUUCGGCGCCUUACGGGAAA